rnacentral:rRNA from 1 species
UACGAAGGGGGCUAGCGUUGUUCGGAAUUACUGGGCGUAAAGCGCGCGCAGGCGGUUCUCCAAGUCAGUGGUGAAAGCCCGGAGCUCAACUCCGGAACUGCCAUUGAAACUGUUGAACUUGAGGACGAGAGAGGUGAGUGGAAUUCCCAGUGUAGAGAUGAAAUUCGUAGAUAUUGGGAAGAACACCGGUGGCGAAGGCGGCUCACUGGCUCGUAUCUGACGCUCAGGCGCGAUAGCGUGGGGAUCAAACAGG